UACGUAGGGUCCGAGCGUUGUCCGGAAUUAUUGGGCGUAAAGGGCGCGUAGGCGGCCACCGCAAGUCGACUGUGAAAUCUCCGGGCUUAACCCGGAAAGGUCAGCCGAUACUGCGGGGCUAGAGUGCAGAAGGGGCAACUGGAAUUCUCGGUGUAGCGGUGAAAUGCGUAGAUAUCGAGAGGAACACCUGCGGCGAAGGCGGGUUGCUGGGCUGACACUGACGCUGAUGCGCGAAAGCUAGGGGAGCGAACGGG
rnacentral:rRNA from 1 species